AAAGGCGCUUUCGGGUGUCGCUGAUGGAUGGACCCGCGGUGCAUUAGCUAGUUGGUGAGGUAACGGCUCACCAAGGCCACGAUGCAUAGCCGACCUGAGAGGGUGAUCGGCCACAUUGGGACUGAGACACGGCCCAAACUCCUACGGGAGGCAGCAGUAGGGAAUCUUCGGCAAUGGACGAAAGUCUGACCGAGCAACGCCGCGUGAGUGAAGAAGGUUUUCGGAUCGUAAAACUCUGUUGUUAGAGAAGAACAAGGAUGAGAGUAACUGUUCAUCCCUUGACGGUAUCUAACCAGAAAGCCACGGCUAACUACGUGCCAGCAGCCGCGGUAAUACGUAGGUGGCAAGC
rnacentral:rRNA from 1 species